rnacentral:rRNA from 1 species
CCUACGGGUGGCAGCAGUGAGGAAUAUUGGUCAAUGGACGAGAGUCUGAACCAGCCAAGUAGCGUGAAGGAUGACUGCCCUAUGGGUUGUAAACUUCUUUUAUAUGGGAAUAAAACGUUCCACGUGUGGGAUUUUGUAUGUACCAUAUGAAUAAGGAUCGGCUAACUCCGUGCCAGCAGCCGCGGUAAUACGGAGGACCGGAGGGUUAUCCGGAUUUAUUGGGUUUAAGGGGAGCGUAGGUGGAUUGUUAAGUCAGUUGUGAAAGUUUGCGGCUCAACCGUAAAAUUGCAGUUGAAACUGGCAGUCUUGAGUACAGUAGAGGUGGGCGGAAUUCGUGGUGUAGCGGUGAAAUGCUUAGAUAUCACGAAGAACUCCGAUUGCGAAGGCAGUUCACUGGACUGCAACUGACACUGAGGCUCGAAAGUGUGGGUAUCAAACAGGAUUAGAUACCCGAGUAGUC